rnacentral:rRNA from 1 species
AGUGAACGCUGGCGGUAGGCCUAACACAUGCAAGUCGAACGGCAGCACAGUAAGAGCUUGCUCUUACGGGUGGCGAGUGGCGGACGGGUGAGGAAUACAUCGGAAUCUACUUUUUCGUGGGGGAUAACGUAGGGAAACUUACGCUAAUACCGCAUACUACCUACGGGUGAAAGCAGGGGAUCUUCGGACCUUGCGCGUUUGAAUGAGCCGAUGUCGGAUUAGCUAGUUGGCGGGGUAAAGGCCCACCAAGGCGACGAUCCGUAGCUGGUCUGAGAGGAUGAUCAGCCACACUGGAACUGAGACACGGUCCAGACUCCUACGGGAGGCAGCAGUGGGGAAUAUUGGACAAUGGGCGCAAGCCUGAUCCAGCCAUACCGCGUGGGUGAAGAAGGCCUUCGGGUUGUAAAGCCCUUUUGUUGGGAAAGAAAAGCAGCAGGUUAAUACCCCGCUGUUCUGACGGUACCCAAAGAAUAAGCACCGGCUAACUUCGUG